UUGAACGCUGGCGGCAGGCCUAACACAUGCAAGUCGAACGGUAACAGGAAGAAGCUUGCUUCUUUGCUGACGAGUGGCGGACGGGUGAGUAAUGUCUGGGAAACUGCCUGAUGGAGGGGGAUAACUACUGGAAACGGUAGCUAAUACCGCAUAACGUCGCAAGACCAAAGAGGGGGACCUUCGGGCCUCUUGCCAUCGGAUGUGCCCAGAUGGGAUUAGCUAGUAGGUGGGGUAACGGCUCACCUAGGCGACGAUCCCUAGCUGGUCUGAGAGGAUGACCAGCCACACUGGAACUGAGACACGGUCCAGACUCCUACGGGAGGCAGCAGUGGGGAAUAUUGCACAAUGGGCGCAAGCCUGAUGCAGCCAUGCCGCGUGUAUGAAGAAGGCCUUCGGGUUGUAAAGUACUUUCAGCGGGGAGGAAGGGAGUAAAGUUAAUACCUUUGCUCAUUGACGUUACCCGCAGAAGAAGCACCGGCUAACUCCGUGCCAGCAGCCGCGGUAAUACGGAGGGUGCAAGCGUUAAUCGGAAUUACUGGGCGUAAAGCGCACGCAGGCGGUUUGUUAAGUCAGAUGUGAAAUCCCCGGGCUCAACCUGGGAACUGCAUCUGAUACUGGCAAGCUUGAGUCUCGUAGAGGGGGGUAGAAUUCCAGGUGUAGCGGUGAGAUGCGUAGAGAGCUGGAGGAAUACCGGUGGCGAAGGCGGCCACCUGGACGAAGACUGACGCUCAGGUGCGAAAGCGUGGGGAGCAAACAGGAUUAGAUACCCUGGUAGUCCACGCCGUAAACGAUGUCGACUUGGAGGUUGUGCCCUUGAGGCGUGGCUUCCGGAGCUAACGCGUUAAGUCGACCGCCUGGGGAGUACGGCCGCAAGGUUAAAACUCAAAUGAAUUGACGGGGGCCCGCACAAGCGGUGGAGCAUGUGGUUUAAUUCGAUGCAACGCGAAGAACCUUACCUGGUCUUGACAUCCACGGAAGUUUUCAGAGAUGAGAAUGUGCCUUCGGGAACCGUGAGACAGGUGCUGCAUGGCUGUCGUCAGCUCGUGUUGUGAAAUGUUGGGUUAAGUCCCGCAACGAGCGCAACCCUUAUCCUUUGUUGCCAGCGGUCCGGCCGGGAACUCAAAGGAGACUGCCAGUGAUAAACUGGAGGAAGGUGAGGAUGACGUCAAGUCAUCAUGGCCCUUACGACCAGGGCUACACACGUGCUACAAUGGCGCAUACAAAGAGAAGCGACCUCGCGAGAGCAAGCGGACCUCAUAAAGUGCGUCGUAGUCCGGAUUGGAGUCUGCAACUCGACUCCAUGAAGUCGGAAUCGCUAGUAAUCGUGGAUCAGAAUGCCACGGUGAAUACGUUCCCGGGCCUUGUACACACCGCCCGUCACACCAUGGGAGUGGGUUGCAAAAGAAGUAGGUAGCUUAACCUUCGGGAGGGCGCUUACCACUUUGUGAUUCAUGACUGGGGUG
rnacentral:rRNA from 1 species